UACGUAGGGUGCGAGCGUUGUCCGGAAUUAUUGGGCGUAAAGAGCUCGUAGGCGGCUUGUUGCGUCGACUGUGAAAACCCACGGCUUAACUGCGGGCUUGCAGUUGAUACGGGCAGGCUAGAGUUCGGUAGGGGAGACUGGAAUUCCUGGUGUAGCGGUGAAAUGCGCAGAUAUCAGGAGGAACACCGGUGGCGAAGGCGGGUCUCUGGGCCGAUACUGACGCUGAGGAGCGAAAGCGUGGGGAGCGAACAGG
rnacentral:rRNA from 1 species